GCUAGUUGUAUUAACUAUUAGUUAAUACAAGAUCGACUAUGUCGACUAAAGUUCUAGGUAGAAUAAUGAUGAUGACAAUUUUCUACCUAUAUGUCUUGACCAAAUCUCGUGCCAGCAGUCGCGGUAAUACGUGAAAGACUAGUGUUAUUCAUCUUUAAUAGGUUUAAAGGGUACCUAGACGGUUUAUCUAGCCCAAAACAGGGUACGGAUUUUCUAGAGUUUUAUGUGAGGAGGGGAGUACUCAUAGAGUAGAGAUGAAAUUUUGUGAUACUAUGAGGAAACUGGUGACGGCGAAAGCAACCUUCUAUGUAUAAACUGACGUUGAGGGACGAAGGCUUGGGUAGCAAAUAGGAUUAGAUACCCUAGUAGUCCAAGCAGACAAUUCUGAAUGCCAUAGAUUAGAUUUUUUUGGUCUAUAAAUGAAAGUGUAAGCAUUCCACCUUAGGAGUAAUGUGGCAACACAGGAACUGAAAUCAUUAGACCGUUUCUGAAACCAGUAGUGAAGUAUGUUAUUUAAUUUGUUAGUCCUCAAAAAACCUUACCACAACUUGAAUGUUAUUUAAUUAAUACAAGCGUUGCACGGCUGUCUUCAGUUAAUGUCGUGAGAUUUUGGUUAACUCCCUCAAUUAACGUAAACCCUUACUUUA
rnacentral:rRNA from 1 species